CUGCCGCUUUGUUCACUUGUUGACUUGUGGGUUCUGUGUCAGCCUUUGCCUACGGUCAAGCUCGAGUCGUCAGAGUGUGAUCAGCAACCCACAACUGCAUUCUGACUAGGAAUUUGCUGAACUCGAGAAAGCUUCAGUUUCUUUACCUGUAAAAUGGAGCCCAUCAUAUUCAUGUCGUGGAUGGUUGGGUGCAUUAUGCAAAGUGCCAUUAAGUGCAAAGUAAGUGCUCAGCCAAAGGGGCUGUAAAUAUCACCUAUGGAGGGGACAAGGGUGACACACAGACCCCCGACACUGGUAGAGGCAGUGUGAGCUUGCCUUGAGAGGUGGAACGUCUGAGGUUCAUCAGCCCGCAGGCCAUUACCAGGGCCUGUGUGCCAGGCUCUGCUCUGUGCUCUGGAUUCAGCUGUGAGAGCAAACAGAGAUGGUCUCUGCGUUCCAUAUGUAGCCUGCCACCGGACCCUAAUAGCUGAGACAGAGCAACAGAGUAGGACCACUUCAGAGCACAGGGAAAGGUGCCCCACGCCACCCCUGGCUUCUCAGAAGAAGGCGAUUUCAUCAGGCACAGAAGAGGCGUGUCUGGGUAUUUCCUGCCAGAGGAUGUUGAAUUUAAGAGAGUGAAGUCAUGGCUAUUGUGGAACUACAAGUCAGCACCCUGGUCCCUGCUGGUCCCUGCUGUCACCAUCUCUCUUCUGCCUGGCUGCGGUGGUCUCCUGGCUCGUCUCCCCUGCUGUCUGCUCUCCACACUGGAGGUGGACGGAUCCUGCUAAAAUGUGAGCACCUACUGGAGUCCAGCCUGCAGAAGGGAACAGGACACUGAGCUCUGCCUGCAAGGGGAUCACCACAAAUGGACGCCAGGCAUGUUCUUUGCUCCCACACCCUCAGGGUCCCAGAACAUGGACAAAGGCCCUUAAGCCUCACACAGACCAUGUUUGGACCUGUCGUGAUGAUAACGACAGCGACCGUGAACUGACUGCUCGAUGUGCGUGAACUCAAAGUGGAGCUUGUCUAGGGAAGUGAUGGGGACCAAAGGGUCAUCGCAGGAAGGGACUUGGAUGAACCAAGCUACUGUUGCUGAUGGAACACUCGUCACACAGUAAAGUCUACUGAGUCGGCGUUCCUAAAGGCUGGAGGUGAUUUCUGAACUCUGGCCGUCUUUUCCAGCCGGAUUUCCUUCUACCCCGCCCCGUCGUGGCCUGAAGUAGAACUAACUACUACGAGGAUGGCUAAGAGCGGAAAGGAACAGGGUGCCACCAGGUGGGCUGUGUGACAAGCAGAGGCUUUGAGCAGGUAAUAUCUGUCAGAGACCAGCAAAUCGCAGGUGUCUCGAGAACAACAAGAGUUUCUCUCAGACACCAAAGAACAAACACGCAGCAGCACAAGACGCUUUGCCGAAGCCGAGCUGUUUUGAUCGUUCCCGGAUGUGACACGCGUCACACGGGAAAGGCGAGCCUCUUGCGCAGAAACUCCCUAAUUGAUAGCUGGUGGUUCCAGGAAGGGUGGCUGUGAGCUUGAAGGGGCUGGGUCCAGAGCAGCCCCCUCACACUGCCCAUCUCCCCCUCGGCCCCCGGCAAGCCUUCACUAACCCAGGCACUCAGCGCAGCACGGGGUAUGGGGUGAGGGAGGCUCACUACUCCAGAUGCCCUGAGGUCCAGCCUCAGCCUCUACCUUUCCAGGCCCUUUCUUCCUGCCUCUUUCCUGGAACCCAGGCUGUGUGCCAAUCUAACUGAGCUUCUUGACUUGGCCAGAUGUGCCAGGCUCUGUCUGGCUUUCAGGCCUUUGCUGUCUUCUCUGCCUUGGGUCCCUCUCCUGUCCUCCCUCCCAUCCACCUGGCCAGCAAUGGCAACUUAGACUUAAUAACACAUAUAAUAGCGGCUUAUCUUUAUUGAGCGCUUACUCCAGGCUAAGUGCUGCCCAAAUGGUUUCUCGUAUCUAAGUCUUACGACUUAUAAGGAAAAAACAGUGACAGUUGACACGUCAUACAUUCUACUGUUGACCAGGCACUGUUCUAAGAACAUUGUGUGAAUUAACUCAGUCCUUGCAGCCCCAUGAUGGGAAAGUUGGCAUCGUUAUUCUGAUUUCACACGUAAGGAAACCGAGUCACAAAGAGGCCCAGCAGCUUGUCCAAAGUCACCUGCUCAAAGUAGCAGAGUUCACACCGCAGCUUGACCCAGAGCUGAAGUUUGACAUGGCCAUCUCAUCGGCCUCUACCACCACCUCCCUCUACAGCACUGGGUGAGAGCCUCUACCGACAUCUUGUGGAGAUCGUUCGUGUGUCCUCUGGGCCUGAAAUGCCUGACAUCAGGGACAGGCUAGUCCAGCACUUGAGUUUCAAAUCCUAGCCCAGGACCUGGCAUGCAGCCGGGCUCCUCCUUGCUGAAACCAGUCUGAAUCCUGCAGGAGCAGUCUUUCUCUGAGUUUCCCCUUUCAAUCACAGGACUAUGAAAUGAAAAAAAAAAUGCAAUUGCAUAAAAUCUAGGUUCUCAUUUUUGCACAUAUCUGAGUUUUGUUGUUAUUUUGAGACAAGAUCUCACUAUGUAUCCCUGGAUGGCCUGAAGCUCUAUCUUCCAAGUUAUGGGAUUAGAAUCAUAUAUCACCAUACACGGCUUUGGGAUUUUCUUUUUUUUUUUUGGGGGGGGGGUUUGCUGUUGUUGUCUUUUUGAUGCACCCAUCUGAAUUGAUACAGAACGUGCAGAUGGUAAAACUUUUGCAGAAUGAGAUCAAUCCUAUAGCAAAAUGAGGACGCGCCAGGGUGCAGGCAGCCACUUCCUGGCACUCCUGCCCCCUUUUGAGAUAGGAGACUGGGUGCAGAAGAGGAGCCCUGCACCAACUCUCCAUUAUGGCAGACCUGAACUUAGGGACUCUUGUGAGACCAUUCAAAGGGGCGUCACCAUAUUUAUUCUCUGCCCAACCUUGGCCACAUGUUCAAAGGGUUAAAUUUCUGUUGGAGGACCUGGGAGCCAGAGGAGACAGAAGAGUGUGGUGGGCUCUGGUCUCCUUCCAAACACGGUUUCUGUGCUUGAACCACCACACUUUUGCUUCUUGAGCAAGCUCCCUUUUGGUUUGCUUUGUUUUGUGUUCUUGAGACAGAGUCUUGCUAUGUAACCUUGGCUGGCCCAGAACUCCCUACAUAACCCUAACUUGCAGCAAUCCCCCUGUCUCUGCCUUCAGAUUGCCGGGAUCACAAGCGUGAGCCACCAUGCUUCAGCUUAAUUAAACUCUUCCCCCAGAGUUGAUUUUCCCUCUGCCAAACUCGGUGUUGUUGGCGAAUGCUUUUGCUUUCUACGGUGCUGCCAAAAGAAUGGGCAGCUCCAAGCGGGAGUGAGGGCCUGGCCCGGAAAGGGCCACUGUGUUCUCUCUACCGCUUUGGAAGAUGUGGUUUUGGGACCGGGCUGGGCCCCCUGCUGGCCCUUCCCCUGUGGUUCUAACGAGCAGGCAGGAGCCUCAGCCUGUGCCAGUGGCGGCUGGGGGUGAGGUUCUGACAGCCUUCACGGCUGCCCCGCUGCCCCGCCCCCCAGGUGCACAGCCUGCCCGCUCAGGCUGGGAGGUGUGAGUGCCUUCCUUUCCUCACCAAUAAAAUGUAGAUAAUGAUAAUACCUUCCUCCCAGGCCUGCGGUGAAGAUCAGAUGAGAGGACGCGGGGAAAAGCGACUUACAUGCUAUCAAAGACUCUGACAAAUGCUCAUUAUUUCUUCCUAUUCUUCUCCUGGAAUUUAUCAAACACUUUAUGAGCCCUGGAGGUGUUUUUUUUUUUUUUUCAUCCCUUCUAUCUUGCGUGGAUUUCUCUGGGCCACAAUUCUCCUGUCCUUUCCUGCUGUACCGUAGAGAAGCAGGGGUAGUGCAGUGGUUAGGGAGUGACAGGCUGGCAUGAGUUUGAAUCCUGGCUCGAUAUCUUUCUAGGCCCGAUGCAGGACUAGGAGCACAACCUCUGUGAUCUCUGUUAGCUUUCCUCUGUAUAAAAUGGGUAUAAAAAUUGAGCUUAAGCACAGAGUUGACAGGAGGACUGAGAUGAUUUGUGUAAAACUCAGGACUUCGCCUGCAACAAGUUCAGGCAACGUCUGCUGUACUGUGCUGUUGGGUACUCUCUCUGGCAGACGUGGCUACCCUCUUUGAGAGGUAGGACCAGUGACAAUAGACCUUGGACACGAUUUUCACAGGCUUCCUUGUCUUUGUGUGCAGAAGGGGGUGGAGUCGUUCAUGCAGCAAAUCCUUUCUGAGUAUCUUCUUGGUGCUGGGUACUCCUGGGGCAAUAGGAAGUCUAGCUUGUAGUCCCUUGCACUGGGGAAUCCCACAUUGCAGUGGGGCAAAUGUUCAUUCAUGCAUGCAUGCAUUCAUUCAUUCAUUCAUUCAUUCAUUCAUUCAGUGCUCAAUUCUCAUCCAUUUGCAGGAUCUAUAAAGCUCUGUGCUGGACUUUGAAAUAGAAAGCUGGGGGCGGGGCAGGGAAGGAGAGAAACAAGAUCUGGUUAAGGUCCCUUGAAGCCUCAGCUCUCCAUGACAUGUCUUCCUACUUCCCGUCUCUUGGCCUCAGUCUCCCCGUUUGAAUGCUAAGGGGUCACUCAAGCUGAUCCCCAGUCUCCUGGCCCACACCAACAUUCCAGGUUUCUGAGCCAGGACGGACAAAUGACGAGUGACACCCCGUCUCUGCUCCCAGCCCACACGCUCACUUGGGUCUUGGGCAUCGAUCGGCCAGGAGCUCAUUAGCGGCCGCACAGCCGUCGCCGCAUGUCACAGGCUCUUAAAGUCUCCAUUACUGAGGGACCUCACUCCUCUGUAUUUUUAGCCCGCAUCUGGAGGAGAUGGCUGGCAUCUCCUGCAGUUAUACACAUUAGGUUCAGUGCUUUCGACAGCUUCUCAGGCCUCUGGGCACCUGGAUGGAGGUGGGGGCCCCAGAUCUGCUCCUGGAAAAAAAAUAGUGGGAGGUGGGGAGUCAGGGGUCCUUUCCUCUCCCAUAAAACCCCACCCCACCCCUAUAGGACCACCUUCCAUAUAUGACAGAGUAGAGACAACUGCCACGCUUCCAGGACACUGACAGCUCUUUGGAUAUGCAAGAAUGAGGGCAGGUGAUGCCCACUUAGGAAUAAAACCCAGGCCAGUCGGAUGUCCCCAAGGAUCAGCCACCAUCUCUAGUUACAGACAGGUAGAGCGAAGCUUGCAGAAGCCACCCAGCAUGUCGUCAUGUCUCACAGUCAGAUCAGGGCUCUGUCUGCCUGUGGGGGACUGAGCCAGCCUGAGUAGCUACCCAGCCCCAAAAGCUCGGGGGGGCCUCCGUCAUUAUAUAAGGGCUGCAUUUCCCAGACCUCAGAGGGCAGGAAAGGAUGCUUUGCAGGCAAUGACUCAGAGAGUAGUGGGACCUGUGAGAAACAGAGCAUCCAUCGCUUGCUUGGGAAGCUAGGGAGUUUAGGAGGGACCAUGAGGAGGAGAUCCCUCCUUCGGUCGAGGAGGGGCCAGUCCCCAGCCUGAGAUAGGAACAGAGCUGUGACCAUGUCGAGCCUGGACUUCAGAAGAACACAGACUCUGUCAGAGACUAGAUACACGUCCGCCCCCCCCCCCAUACUAGCCAUGUAAUCAACUCACUGGCAAAGUAAGAUGACAAGAUAACAGUAUCAGAUUCUUCUGCACCAGCCCCAGUGUACCAGAUACGCUCCUUGUGUUUCCUCACCGGAUUAGUGAUCUUCCUGUGAAGGUGGGAGCCGUGAUGGCUAUUCUCGUCUUACAGAUGAAGGAAGUGGAGCUCAGAGAGACCAAGCAAGUCACCCAUGCUCACACAGCUGAAAAGCACCAGAGUUUCUCUCCAGAGGGCCAGCGAAUCCUUUGCUGUACCAAAGCCAAGGAAAUUAAUAAGGCAACUUCUUGGGUCAAGGGUCACGUGCAAAGGAUUUGGAGAUGAAGAGCCGUGAGUGUAUGAAGCACAACCUCCAUGAAUGACAGUCUUUCCCUUGCACAUGGGGCCCGCCAUUUUGCAGCAGCCAAUGACAUGAACAAAUAAUGUGUCUGAAUGCAAAUGGGUCCAGUGUACCCAGCAGCACACAGUCCUUUGGACAAUCUAGUCUAGGCUCUGAUAUUUUGGUUUUCAGAGAGUAGCACAUCAAAUAAUGGGGCCCUGGGUGAGAGGAAUCCCAGGGCCAUCUCAGCUGGUCCUGAUGCCAGUACAUGGAGCCCCACACCACUCUGCUCUAGGAUCCAUGCUGGGUCUGGGGAUGUCCCUAGUGGGUAAUACGGUAGCUAAGGAGAAGCAGAGCCUAGGCUAGAACCUAGAGAAAGAAGACUGGGACAAAAUGAGACAUUAACUACGCACCAGCUGGUGACAGUUCCUACCCUACAUAUCCUCUAAAAAACGAACUCAUAUUACCCA